GGGUCAUUAGCCCAGUCAAUAGAGCAGCUGGCUUUUAACCAGUUGGUCAUAGGUUCGGAUCCUAUACAACCCACCA
rnacentral:tRNA from 1 species